rnacentral:rRNA from 1 species
GAUGAACGCUGGCGGCGUGCCUAAUACAUGCAAGUCGAACGAAACUUCUUUAUCACCGAGUGCUUGCACUCACCGAUAAAGAGUUGAGUGGCGAACGGGUGAGUAACACGUGGGCAACCUGCCCAAAAGAGGGGGAUAACACUUGGAAACAGGUGCUAAUACCGCAUAACCAUAGUUACCGCAUGGUAACUAUGUAAAAGGUGGCUAUACUACCGCUUUUGGAUGGGCCCGCGGCGCAUUAGCUAGUUGGUAGGGUAAAGGCUUACCAAGGCAAUGAUGCGUAGCCGAAUUGAGAGGUUGAUCGGCCACUUUGGGACUGAGACACGGCCCAAACUCCUACGGGAGGCAGCAGUAGGGAAUCUUCCACAAUGGGCGAAAGCCUGAUGGAGCAACGCCGCGUGGGUGAAGAAGGUCUUCGGAUCGUAAAACCCUGUUGUUAGAGAAGAAAGUGCGUGAGAGUAACUGUUCACGUUUCGACGGUAUCUAACCAGAAAGCCACGGCUAACUACGUG